rnacentral:rRNA from 1 species
GAUGAACGCUGGCGGCGUGCCUAAUACACGCAAGUCGAGCGAACAGACGAGGAGCUUGCUCCUUUGACGUUAGCGGCGGACGGGUGAGUAACACGUGGGUAACCUACCUAUAAGACUGGGAUAACUUCGGGAAACCGGAGCUAAUACCGGAUAAUAUUUCGAACCGCAUGGUUCGAUAGUGAAAGAUGGCUUUGCUAUCACUUAUAGAUGGACCUGCGCCGUAUUAGCUAGUUGGUAAGGUAACGGCUUACCAAGGCAACGAUACGUAGCCGACCUGAGGGGGUGAUCGGCCACACUGGAACUGAGACACGGUCCAGACUCCUACGGGAGGCAGCAGUAGGGAAUCUUCCGCAAUGGGCGAAAGCCUGACGGAGCAACGCCGCGUGAGUGAUGAAGGUCUUCGGAUCGUAAAACUCUGUUAUUAGGGAAGAACAAACGUGUAAGUAACUGUGCACGUCUUGACGGUACCUAAUCAGAAAGCCACGGCUUACUACGUGCCAGCAGCCGCGGUAAUACGUAGGUGGCAAGCGUUAUCCGGAAUUAUUGGGCGUAAAGCGCGCGUAGGCGGUUUUUUAGUCUGAUGUGAAAGCCCACGGCUCAUCCGUGGAGGGUCAUUGGAAACUGGAAAACUUGAGUGCAGAAGAGGAAAGUGGAAUUCCAUGUGUAGCGGUGAAAUGCGCAGAGAUAUGGAGGAACACCAGUGGCGAAGGCGACUUUCUGGUCUGUAACUGACGCUGAUGUGCGAAAGCGUGGGGAUCAAACAGGAUUAGAUACCCUGGUAGUCCACGCCGUAAACGAUGAGUGCUAAGUGUUAGGGGGUUUCCGCCCCUUAGUGCUGCAGCUAACGCAUUAAGCACUCCGCCUGGGGAGUACGACCGCAAGGUUGAAACUCAAAGGAAUUGACGGGGACCCGCACAAGCGGUGGAGCAUGUGGUUUAAUUCGAAGCAACGCGAAGAACCUUACCAAAUCUUGACAUCCUUUGACCCUUCUAGAGAUAGAAGUUUCCCCUUCGGGGGACAAAGUGACAGGUGGUGCAUGGUUGUCGUCAGCUCGUGUCGUGAGAUGUUGGGUUAAGUCCCGCAACGAGCGCAACCCUUAAGCUUAGUUGCCAUCAUUAAGUUGGGCACUCUAAGUUGACUGCCGGUGACAAACCGGAGGAAGGUGGGGAUGACGUCAAAUCAUCAUGCCCCUUAUGAUUUGGGCUACACACGUGCUACAAUGGACAAUACAAAGGGCAGCGAAACCGCGAGGUCAAGCAAAUCCCAUAAAGUUGUUCUCAGUUCGGAUUGUAGUCUGCAACUCGACUACAUGAAGCUGGAAUCGCUAGUAAUCGUAGAUCAGCAUGCUACGGUGAAUACGUUCCCGGGUCU